GACGAACGCCGGCGGCGUGCUUAACACAUGCAAGUCGAACGGAAAGGCCCUGCUCUUGUGGGGUUCUCGAGUGGCGAACGGGCGAGUAACACGUGAGUAACCUGCCCUUGACUUUGGGAUAACUUCAGGAAACUGGGGCGAAUACCGGAUAGGAGCUACUGCUGCAUGGUGGGGGUUGGAAAGAGUCGGCGGUUGGGGAUGGACUCGCGGCUUAUCAGCUUGUUGGUGGGGUAGGGGCUUACCAAGGCUUUGACGGGUAGCCGGCCUGAGAGGGUGACCGGCCACAUUGGGACUGAGAUACGGCCCAGACGCCUACGGGCGGCAGCAGUGGGGAAUAUUGCACAAUGGGCGGAAGCCUGAUGCAGCAACGCCGCGUGCGGGAUGACGGCCUUCGGGUUGUAAACCGCUUUCGACUGUGACGAAGCGUGAGUGACGGUAAUGGGUAAAGAAGCACCGGCUAACUACGUG
rnacentral:rRNA from 1 species